UGUUGAGACUGGCUGCCUUGCUAUCUAUCCCUAGACUGACUCCAUCAUUCCCUGACAUCCAGCCUUCAGUUGGAGAGAACCACCAGACAAGGACAAUGUCUGUUCUUUGGCUAAGAGAAGUCUCGUGGCAUCAGAGGUAGAUAUGCACAAGAGAAGGCCACCUGAAGAUUUACAAGCCAAGGAAUGACAAAGAUUGCUGACAAACUAUCACAAGCCAAGAAGAAAAGAGGAGUCCUCCCCUGGUACCUUGUCUGGGAGCAUGGCCCUAUCAAUGUCUUGAUUAUGGACUUCUGGCCUCCAAAGUUAUGAAAUAAUGAAUUUCUGUUAUUCUAA